UGGAUUGGCAGCCCUGCCGCCUCUCCUGUAUGCCCACAGCACAGAUGCACCACAGGUAGUGACAGUGCCAGCAUCCCCACUCUGCCCCGCCACAUGCCUCGCUCUGCCAUGGAGAGGCCACCUCUAGAGGGGAGAGAGGAGUGUGAAUCUGCCUUCUUUCUUCAGAUUGU
ensembl:misc_RNA